AGAAGGCGUGGUCAGUAAGUGACAUGGCCGCCUCCUUAUACGGAGCCUCGUCGCCUUAUUCUCCUGCUACUUGUAGAUUAAAUUAGACUUUUACCACGCAAAUUUGAUUUCAUAUUUCCUGGGACAGCGCCCUGUAGAGCUCAGCAUGGGCACCGUCCACGCCAGGAGCCUGGACCCUCUGCCCAUGCAAGGGCCAGAGCUGGGAGUUCAACCUGACGAUAUCGAGGCUCCUGGGAUUGAGCACGAACCAAAGCAAGAAGUUCUUGAAAACAAGGAUGUUGUAGUUCAACGAGUGCACAUAGAUGGGCUUGGAAGAACCAAGGAGGACCUGUUGACUUAUGAAAUCUCAGAAGUUUUCCGGGCAAAGAACUUGAUUGAUGUGAUGCGAAAGUCCCAUGAAGCCCGACGAAAGCUGCUCCGUCUCGGUAUUUUCAGAAAAGUUGAAGUUGUUAUUGACACGUCACGAGGUGAGGAUGCUCUUCCUAACGGCCUUGAUGUGACAUUUGAAGUCACCGAGCUGAGACGGAUGACAGGCAGCUACAACACCAUGGUUGGAAACAACGAAGGAAGCAUGGUACUAGGCCUGAAGUUACCCAAUGUAUUAGGUCGUGCAGAGAAAAUGACCUUUCAGUUCUCCUACGGAACCAAAGAGACAUCCUACGGCCUGUCCUUCUUCAAACCCCAACCAGGAAACUUUGAACGCAACAUCUCACUCAAUGUGUACAAAGUAACAGGUCAGUUUCCAUGGAGUUCACUGAGGGAGACGGAUCGAGGCAUCUCUGGAGAACUGAGCUUCCCUGUGUGGAACACCAACCAAACCCUGAAGUGGGAGGGAGUGUGGCGAGAGCUGGGCUGUUUGGCUCGCACUGCCUCAUUUGCCGUCCGGGAGGAGAGUGGCCAUUCCCUAAAGUCCUCACUUUCGCAUUCUAUGGUCAUCGACACCAGAAACUCCUCCAUCCUUCCCAGGAAAGGUGGCCUGUUGAAGAUCCAUCAGGAACUUGCUGGUUACACUGGGGGAGACGCCAGUUUCCUGAAGGAGGACUUUGAGAUCCAGCUCAACAAAACCCUCUUCUGGGACUCGGUCCUUUCUGCCUCAUUGUGGGGGGGUUUGCUCCUGCCCAUUGGUGACAAGCCAACAAGCAUAGCAGACAGGUUCUAUCUUGGUGGCCCCACCAGUAUCAGGGGAUUCAGUAUGUACAGUUUGGGCCCACAGAGUGAAGCUGGAAUUACUGAUAUGGCAGGUGACUACCUGGGAGGAGAGGGCUACUGGGCUGGAGGCCUCCACCUUUACACCCCUCUACCCUUCAGACCAGGCAAGGGGGGCUUUGGUGACCUCUUCAGAACACACUUCUUCCUCAAUGCCGGAAACCUUUGUAACCUUAACUAUGGUGAGGGGCCAAAAGCACAUUUGAAGAAACUGGCAGAAUGCAUCCGUUGGUCAUAUGGACUGGGCAUUGUGCUGCGUUUGGGAAACAUUGCCAGACUGGAGCUGAAUUACUGCAUUCCCAUGGGAGUCCAGAGUGGAGACAGGUAGGGCUGAUAAGGGUAGCUAGUUUUAGGUAAGAUUUGGAAUUACACCUAUUUAAUUUACUUUAAAGACAUGUAAGGCACACUAGGUAAACUUUAUGUCCAAUAGCUCUCCCUGCAAACAGAAUAUAAAUGAUUUAGUUAGAAAAGACCAGCAUAGACCAAAAAACACAGGUUGUACAGGUGGGUGACUUCAACCCAUGCAUUGCAAAUGUCACAUGUCUGUUUACAUGUGUGAAAGUUCUGUAUGUAUGCGCAUGUUGUUUAGUAAAUAUUGAGCAAAUCUUUUCUGUACAAUCAUGUAGUUAAACACUUUUAAGAGACACAUGUCCCAUGCAUAGUGCCCUUAACAUGCACUGGAAAUAAACUGAUUCUUGGUUUGCC